CGAGCUUGAUCCUGGCUCAGAACGAAUGCUGGCGGCAGGCCUAACACAUGCAAGUCGAGCGAACAACCUCAACGGGUUGUUAGCGGCGAACGGGUGAGUAACACGUGAGAAUCUGCCUUGUUCAACGGGAUAGCUUAAGGAAACUUGAGGUAAUACCGUAUGAUUCCUGCAACAGGUAAAGAAUUAAUUAUUUGGAACAAGAUGAGCUUGCGCUAGAUUAGCUAGUUGGUGGGGUAAAGGCCUACCAAGGCAAUGAUCUAUAGCUGGUCUGGGAGGACGGACAGCCACAUUGGGACUGAGACAAGGCCCAAACUUCUAUGGAGGGCAGCAGUGGGGAAUAUUGGACAAUGGGCGAAAGCCUGAUCCAGCCAUGUCGCAUGAGUGACGAAGGUCUUAUAAAAGGGGUAUAAAAUAUAUACUUUAGACUGUAAAACUCUAUUUAUUUAAUGAUAAUGAUGAUAGUAAUUAAAUAAAAGCUCCGACCAACUUCGUGCCAGCAGUCGCGGUAAUACGAGGGGAGCGAGUGUUGUUCAGUUUUAUUGGGCGUAAAGGGUAUGUAGGCGGUUUUGUAAGUCAACAAUUAAAUCUUGGAACUUAAUUCCAUUACAAUUGUUGAUACUGCAUAACUAUGAACUUAAUAGGGGUGAACACAAUUCCAAGUGUAGAGGUGAAAUUCGUUGAUAUUUGGAGGAGUACCAAAGGCGAAGGCAGUUCAUUGGGUUAAGUUGACGCUGAGGUACGAAAGCGUGGGGAGCAAACAGGAUUAGAUACCCUGGUAGUCCACGCCCUAAACGAUGAGUGCUAAUAGUUUGGCAUAAAUAUCUAUACUGAAAGUAUAUCUUCGGAUAUAUUGUAGGUUGAAGAUUUUAUGUUUGAUUGUAUAGCUAACGCGUUAAGCACUCCGCCUGGGGACUACGACCGCAAGGUUAAAACUCAAAGGAAUUGACGGAGACCCGCACAAGCGGUGGAGCAUGUGGUUUAAUUCGAAUCUACACGAAGAACCUUACCAGCUCUUGACAUUUUUGGCUAAACAUGUUGGAAACAACAUGCCACUUACAACAGUAAGGAUGCCUUAAACAGGUGCUGCAUGGCUGUUGUCAGCUCGUGCCGUGAGGUGUAUGGUUAAGUCCCAUAACGAGCGAAACCCUUAUCCAUAGUUGCCGAAAACAAAUAAUGAGUGGCUCUCUAUGGAGACUGCUAACAAAAGUUAGAGGAAGGUGAGGAUCACAACAAGUCAUCAUGGCCCUUAUGGGCUGGGCUACACACGUGCUACAAUGGCAACUACAAAGAGUCGCAAUAUCGUGAGGUGGAGCUAAUCUCAAAAAAGUUGUCUUAGUUCGGAUUGUACUCUGCAACUCGAGUACAUGAAGUAGGAAUCGCUAGUAAUCGUGGAUCAGCAUGCCACGGUGAAUACGUUCUCGGGUCUUGUACACACCGCCCGUCACACCAUGGGAGUUUAUUCCAUUUCAAGUUCCCAAUAAGGAACGUAGAUGCGAUUGAUGACCGAGGUGAAGUCGUAACAAGGUAGCCGUAGGGGAACCUGUGGCUGAACACAAC
rnacentral:rRNA from 1 species